UGCCAGCCGCCGCGGUAAUACGGAGGGUGCUAGCGUUGUUCGGAAUUACUGGGCGUAAAGCGCGCGUAGGCGGUCCAGCAAGUUGGAAGUGAAAUCCCAGGGCUUAACCCUGGAACUGCUUUCAAAACUGCCGGACUAGAGAAUGGUAGAGGAUAGCGGAAUUCCUAGUGUAGAGGUGAAAUUCGUAGAUAUUAGGAGGAACACCAGAGGCGAAGGCGGCUAUCUGGGCCAUUUCUGACGCUAAGGCGCGAAAGCGUGGGGAGCAAACAGGAUUAGAUA
rnacentral:rRNA from 1 species